GUAAUUUCAUUUAGUUGGUAUACUGAAGCUCUAGUUAUUCACGAUUAGAUGCUUGAUGGCCAUGAGAAUACCUUGGAAGUUUCAACCAGCCAACAACAAAGAAGUCCAUUGAAGCAGAAAACUCUGGAUUCUUUCACGAAGCGCUGUAACAGCAUCGAUGAUGCUGGUCAGGUAAUUUGCUUCUCUCUCUUUCUAAAAUGAAUCACACACAUGCACAUAUAACAAAAUAUAGUAAGAAUUUAGGGGUUUCAUGAAACUCGUUGAUCGUAAUUUCAUUUAGUUGGUAUACUGAAACUCUAGUUAUUCAUGAUUAGAUGCUUGAUGGCCAUGAGAAUACCUUGGAAGUUUCAACCAGCCAACAACAAAGAAGUCCAUUGAAGCAGAAAACUCUGGAUUCUUUCACGAAGCGCUGUAACAGCAUCGAUGAUGCUGGUCAGGUAAUUUGCUUCUCUCUCUUUCUAAAAUGAAUCACACACAUGCACAUAUAACAAAAUAUAGUAAGAAUUUAGGGGUUUCAUGAAACUCGUUGAUCGUAAUUUCAUUUAGUUGGUAUACUGAAACUCUAGUUAUUCACGAUUAGAUGCUUGAUGGCCAUGAGAAUACCUUGGAAGUUUCAACCAGCCAACAACAAAGAAGUCCACUGAAGCAGAAAACUCUGGAUUCUUUCAUGAAGCGCUGUAACAGCAUCGAUGAUGCUGAACAUCAAUCCAAGCUCAAAUACCCCAGGCACUGAGCAACCUACUC
rnacentral:lncRNA from 1 species